CUCGUAGGCGGCUUGUCACGUCGGUUGUGAACCCUGGGGCUUAACCCCGGGUCUGCAGUCGAUACGGGCAGGCUAGAGUUCGGUAGGGGAGAUCGGAAUUCCUGGUGUAGCGGUGAAAUGCGCAGAUAUCAGGAGGAACACCGGUGGCGAAGGCGGAUCUCUGGGCCGAUACUGACGCUGAGGAGCGAAAGCGUGGGGAGCGAACAGGAUUAGAUACCCUGGUAGUCCACGCC
rnacentral:rRNA from 1 species